GGAUUCCCCUAGUAACUGCGAGUGAAGCGGGAAAAGCUCAAAUUUAAAAUCUGGCGGCUCCGCCGUCCGAGUUGUAAUUUAGAGAAGCGUUUUCCGCGCCGGACCGUGUACAAGUCUCCUGGAACGGAGCGUCGUAGAGGGUGAGAAUCCCGUCUUUGACACGGACGCCCGGUGCUCUGUGAUACGCUCUCGAAGAGUCGAGUUGUUUGGGAAUGCAGCUCAAAAUGGGUGGUGAACUCCAUCUAAAGCUAAAUAUUGGCGAGAGACCGAUAGCGAACAAGUACCGUGAGGGAAAGAUGAAAAGCACUUUGGAAAGAGAGUGAAACAGUACGUGAAAUUGCUGAAAGGGAAACGCUUGAAGUCAGUCGCGUCCGCCGGGAUUCAGCCUCGUGGUGUACUUUCCGGUGGACGGGCCAGCAUCACUUUCGACCGUCGGAAAAGGGCGGAGGGAAUGUGGCACCUCCGGGUGUGUUAUAGCCCUCCGCCGUAUACGGCGUUCGGGAGUGAGGACCGCCUUUUGUAGGAUGCUGGCGUAAUGGCUUUAAACGACCCGUCUUGAAACACGGACCAAGGAGUCUAACAUGCUCGCGAGUGUUCGGGUGGAAAACCCGUGCGCGUAAUGAAAGUGAAAGUUGGGAAGGCUGUCGUGGCCCGCACCGACGCCCGGACCUGAGAUUUAUCGACGGUUCUGCGGUAGAGCGCGUAUGUUGGGACCCGAAAGAUGGUGAACUAUGCCUGAAUAGGGUGAAGCCAGAGGAAACUCUGGUGGAGGCUCGUAGCGAUUCUGACGUGCAAAUCGAUCGUCAAAUUUGGGUAUAGGGG
rnacentral:rRNA from 1 species